CUGUUGUCACUGGCCAGAGAGGGAGAGAGAGAGGGAGAGAGGGAGAGAGAAAGAGGGAGGGAGGGAGGGAGAGCAGAGUUGUGUCCCAUAUGUGGAAAAAAAGCAUAGCAGUGCACACACGGGUCUGGUCUGCUCCAGGGAUUAUCGUACCGCUUUCUGAUCUGAUGGAGGACAUGCAGGCAUGAAUAGGGCUGUUCUGUUGUCAGUGCAAGCUCAUGCCAGUGAUGGACUACAGCCGGACGGGCGCUAACCUUAGCUGGCAUUCACAAAACAGCAUUCCUCUUUACUGAGACCAGCUCCACAGAAUGCUGAGUCCUAUUGUCCCCUAUAACUGGCAACAGAAGCAGUGCGAGCACACCCCCGAGGCUUCAGGCCCAGCACCAGAGCGCAGAGGUCCUUCAUCCCUGUCACUGUCUGUAAACAACUGCUCGUCCCAGCGGCCUGCCCUGCGCUAUUUCUGGCCCUUUCCUGACGUCUUUCAAAGCCUCAAAAGUAGCCGAGAGAAGACGUAAAUCUGAGCAACUCCACGCGAAGAAGUGAAAGUUCUUGGUCAGAAGCUUGAAACGGGAUCCAUUCCUCCUCAGUUAUGGAUAGCGGUGUCAAAGCUUAGUAUGAAACAUCUGUGACUGAAUCCCCCCCAGAACGCCGGUGCUGGUGCCGCUAAUGACAAGAGUAAUUAAUUGUCUAAUAAUGAU
ensembl:lncRNA